UCCGUUGCUCCAAUGGCGUCAGGUAUAUAAAGCGAUCAUGACGUCAUCCGCGCACAAUAUUGAUUCUCGGCGUGGCGUAGUGCGGACGUUAGUGUAGUGCGGUGCAACCAAGUUCUACAAAAUUCCAUUGGGCGUUGUGCCUAAUCGGAUACAGUCCCAUUGCGUUUCGCGUGGGCCUGCAUCCGAUGGCCGCCAUCUUGGUUGCCGCGGGGGCGUGCUCGGAGCUAACUACGAUGUGGGUUUGUAAAAACGGUAUCAUGCAUUUUAAUUAGUUUUAUUAUGAAUAGUAUAACUUAUUGUUGAAUUGUUAGUAAAUUAUUUCAGUUCGCUAUUUUAAAUGGUCGAUUGGAAUUAAAAAUUUUAUUCAUAUUGAAUAAGAAAAUUGUAACUUAUGUUUAAGUAUGAAAUAAAUGAAUUUUAAAAAUAUGCUCAGAAUUUAAUUUCAAUCUCUCUCUUUGUAUUUAUGAAAUUUCACCCAACAUGUAUUAUUCCAUGAGUCAUCGCCGACCGCGCGGACAACAUGGCGGUCGAGAUCCUGGCGACUAGCUGCGUAGAUUAUAGAAUGCCGAGUUGGAGUUGUGCAUCUCUGCCUUUGCUGCCUUACGAGGCUGCGCAGAACAACCCUGCUUCACACGCUAAUCGAUCUGGUCCGGUACACAGCCCAUAUAGGUAAACGUUAGGUUGCGCAAUAAUAUCCUACCUUGCAUACCCUAAUGUCCCGCAAAGGGCAUUUUGUUUUGUUAUAUUUGGAAGCGCAGAUACGAGUCCGUAUGCUGGCGAAAUCCGAGCUCGCAGUCGCAGCCAGCAACCGGUGAUGCGUAUAGCUUGGGAACGCUGACUAUGAAAUAAGUUAAGUUCCGCUGUAUUUGUAAGAUUUGAAAAAUAGGGUGAGUUCCGAUACUUAUUUCUGACAGAAUACUAGUGCAAGCCUGAAUUUAACUUUUAUCCUUUUGAUUGGGCGUUUUGUGUUUCUUUGACCUUUAAAUCCAAACAGGCAUUUAGCAUCUGCACAUUACUACGAACUAAAACAACAGCGAGAAACUCCAAGGCAUAUCAAAUAAUUGUUCGCUAGCAGGACAAUAUACACGCCGUUAUAAUCAAAACAAUCUGACAUUACAAAGGACCAAGUUAUCUUAGCAAGCAAAAAUGGGCUGAUGUAUCUUUUCACAUGCAAUCAAAUAAAUACAAACCUAUCAUGAAACAAGACCACCUUUAUAACUAAAUAAGUAGUAAACAAAUCGAAACCAAGUAAAUUAAGUAAAGGGACGCCGAGAGACACUUAAUCAUUGCUUGUCUUCUGGGCGUCGUGGUGAUGCAAGAUCAUUGCAAAACACGUUAUUAUGAGCGCAAUGUGGACCUUCAGGAAGAAGGAAACACUGCAGCUAAAAUCGAUGUCACCACGUCCCACUAAGCAGAUGAGUUGAUCUCUCGCAAACGUAGGCACUUUCAUGGACACAUAAAUAUAGUGAGAUUUAUUUAGAGAUCAGAGAUAAAUGAAAACUUAGUACAACUACACAGUAAGAUAGAUGUAGGUAAGUGAAAUAAUUCCGAACUCGGAAUCGUUUUACACUUCUUAAAAAUAACACUGAAUCGAUUUAUUUUUGAUAAAUAUUUACUUGAGUACCUUGCAUAUUUCAAACUUACUCUUUUCAAUAUUUACUUUGUAUUUAUGCCGUAGACACGGCGGUAGGGUUUAACAGUAUGCCAAAGUUUUAUUUCAGGUUCACAUGCAUAACUACUAUUAAAAUAAUUAUGAUGAAUCAUCACACUUCAUUUAUAAAUAAAUAAAUUCAUCAAUCACCAUCUUCAAUCCAAUGGAAAUAGACUAAGCAAUAUUACUUCAGACUUAUUAGGAUAAAAUAUUAGUUGACCAAAUUGAGAAUUGAGACCUCAAAAAUUAUAUAAUAAAGGAAAAUUUACAUACCUAAUCAUUAUCUACCUACACGACAUAACGAAACCUAUGCAAUCAGUUGCCAGAGGAAAUUUUAUUUCAUGUUGCUGUAAGUUGCCGUUUUAAGAAAUUAAAACUGCUGUUGUAAAGUAAAACCUAAUUGAAUGUGGACACAUUGGAUGAGUUAUGCAACUAUGCGCUGCGAGAGCUUGGUUGAAAGUGUAUUCCGUUGUGAACGAUUGCACAAGUACCUAUGUAUGACGUAAUAAUCGAAGCCAAGGUAUGAUAGUAUUAAAAUAAUUUCAUAAGAUUGUGUGAUGCAAUUGAAUGUUUAUACGUGCCAGCUGUAGUAUAUUUUCUGUUAGCUGAAAAAUAUGUACAAAAUAUGUUUUGGUUAUAAACAGUUAAUGCAUGAACAGAUAGGCGAUAUAUUUUCUACUUGCUAUUAGACAAUUCUUUGAAUUUUCUUUCGUAAUAAAAGCUACAUAAAUUGUUUUAAUUAAGCAAUGAUAAUGACAGUUAACUGUCGAUAACUUUAACGGCGAGAAAUCGCCUUGUAUGCACUGCCAUUGUUUAGGCUGCUGAUAAUCCUGAACGUCCGGCAUCCUUGGGUGCUUUGCUGGUUGAGUGAAGGUGGCAGGCUUAUGGAAAAGUUCUGAGAGCACAGCAAAACGUAAAUAGCAAGUGAAAUGAUCUAUUAUUGUACUCGAAGAACAAGUGGAACGGUGUGCGCUGAGUAUGCACGUACGCUCGACGAUUAGAUCAUCCCUUACAGAUGACAUUGGAGUGUAAACUUAGCUGUGCUUCAUUUUUUUUGAUCAUGGUUUGUACUCGCUAAGAUUAGCUGUGCAUUUUGAGUCAUAACAUCUGCGUGCUUUCGACUAACAUAUUGAGUCGUCUUCUAUGUACUUAGGUGCAACAUUAUUUUUAAUCAAGUAUGUAAACAUUUUUAUAUCAAAAGUUAAUAGAUUACAUAUAAUAUGUAUACUCAUAAUUUAGUAUGUAGUGAGUGUAAUUUUAAUUUUUCUGGUUAUUCUACUAGCUGUGUAUUGUGCUCAUUUUUAGGAAGGUUAGGAUAAUUGCAGUUUCUUACAGGCUUUUUAACCUGCAAGUAAAAUUUACGACAUCGUCAGAAAUCGUCCUACUCAUAAAUAGAUACCUACAUAUAAUUUUUCAAAAAUUGCACUUCUGGUAUGUACAAAUACAAAUGUACAAUGUUUGCCAACAUGGUGGUAAACAGGGUGAACUAAUUUAAUAAAAAGCUAUGAGAGGAGAUAUUUAAAGAAAAAGAAAUUAAACAUAAAAGGAAAAUAUAAUCACACACAGCCUAUGGUUAUCAACAUUUAAGAUAUCGAUUUGGGGGAAGGACUUCUCUCUAUAACAUAGGUAUCACGUAAGUAGAAACUAAACAAAACAAUCGUCAAAAUUGAUUUUCGAAAAUAAUCGUCAAAUUUGUCAGAAAAUUUACUAUAAUGAAAAUUCAAAUUCCUAAUGUAAACUCCUGCGUAUCAAACCAAAAUAUAUUGUUUAAAUUUGAAUUUUAUUGUAUUUUACAUUAUGUAGGUAUGUAUCGAGAAUACAAGGAAAUUUCUUUGUGCGAGUCUUAACUCGCACUUAACUAUUUUUUUAUACUAAUCUAGGCGAAGUCUUGAAUUAAUUUCCUCUGCUGGACGUAUUAUUUGUCAAAUAAUAAACCCUACAAAAGCGCACCUACCUACCUACCGAGAAUGCACCACAAAUUUUAAAGCAAUUACGCUAAAUAGUACCUGGUACAAACAUUUCUGAAGGACAUACAGAAUACAUGCAAGUAAAAAUUGUCAUCUUUUUAAAUGGGAUCGACGAAUCAAUUGUUGGCCGUGUGACAGCAUUUCCAAGUAAGUUCUAUAUCCAACUCUGCUAUUCCAACCGCUAGUUUCUUUAUAAGAGCUCUAUCUUUAUUCAGAAUUUAAAAUUACUGAGAUUUUUUGGGAUACUUUAUGAUACGGGGAUCUUAUUUUCAGGAUUGGCCAUUAAAACAAGUAGGUACCUACAUAUCUUAUUCAGGCAUAAUAUUGAUAUCAUAAUAUGAUUAUUGAGAAAACGAUAAACAACACACGAAAUAAAUAGGUACUAAAAUAACUUAAUUCUAGGAAUGAAAUCAUGAUAUUUUAUACUUAUGUAUAAUUAACUACGUUUUGGGAGGAGUCUUGUAACUCUUGUUAUGUGUAUAUGGUGGAAGGUAAAACUAAAUGAACUAGGUACAUAAUCCAUUUAGGCAUUUUAUACUUUUUAAAUUGGUAUACAAUUUAACUACAUAUCGAUAUAUACGUUGGAAUGAUUUUAUAUUGUCAAUAUCUUGAGAACAUUUUUUUUUUUCGUGCGAUCCGUUUCUUUAGGCUUAUUCACAGAAAAGGUGUAGCAGUUAGCGUCGGCUUACAAAAACAUUGAUCUAAUUCGAGGCUUCUUAAACACAACAUGCACAUGCACAUCGGCUUGCGGUCAUCGAGAUCACAAACCAAGUGUGAAGCGGUGUCGUCAUUUGAUGUUUUAAAUUACAAGUAAAUCCAAUUUGAUGGUCUUAUUAUACUCAUCAUUUUCUCUAU